UUUUUUUUUAGACAGAGUCUCACUCUGUCGCCCAGGCUCUGGAGUGUAGUGGCACGAUCUCCGCUCACUGCAACCUCCACCUCCUGGGUUCAGGCGAUUCUCCUGCCUCAGCCUCCCGAUGCUGGGAUUACACGCAUGAGCCACUGUGCCCAGCCUAAUGUUUUUUUUAAGACACCACAUAAGAUGCAUAACUCAUUUGGCAAGAUGCCAUUCUCAUUUUCAUCAUUCAGUGCCCAGCUAAAAUGAGCCCCAAGAAGAGAUCCUCUCCCUCUCUUGGGACAUUUAUCAUCUUCUGUCACUGGGAAGAGGUCACUCCCCCACCAAUGUAGUGGGCAGCCGGGGCUGACCCCUCUCUAAAACUCUGCCCCCAGCACAGGGCUGGAUACACGACAGGCCUCAGUCAGUGUUUGUUAAAUGAGUAACUGAACUCAGCA
rnacentral:lncRNA from 1 species